rnacentral:misc_RNA from 1 species
UCGCGGCUUAUCACCGGCAGUCCCCUUAGAGUGCCCAACUAAAUGGUGGCAACUAAGGGCGAGGGUUGCGCUCGUUGCGGGACUUAACCCAACAUCUCACGGCACGAGCUGACGACAGCCGUGCAGCACCUCCACAUCGGCCCCGAAGGGAAGCCCCCUUUCAGGGGCGGUCCGAUGCAGUUCAAGCCCAGGUAAGGUUCUUCGCGUCGCAUCGAAUUAAACCACACGCUCCGCUGCUUGUGCGGGCCCCCGUCAAUUCCUUUGAGUUUUAGCCUUGCGGCCGUACUCCCCAGGCGGGCCACUUAUCGCGUUAGCUGCGACGCGGAGGGGGUCGAUACCCCCACAUCUAGUGGCCAUCGUUUACAGCGUGGACUAC